CGAGAAAGGUCGUAAAUUUGAAGACGUAACGUGUCCGAUAUAAAUCGAGGAUUACUACUGCGCGACGUGGAGAAGCGAGACUCAUUGCGAUACGAAGGCGAGGUGCGGAAGAGAUGUGCGCUACUAUUAAUUUGGUCACGAACGAAGAUUAAACAUGUAAUCCCGCUGAUGUAAUGACUUAAUAUCCGCUUUUACUGCAACGAAGACUUCAUUCAGAAUAUUCGAAACACGACAGUCUCUUCUCUCGCGAUGAGAAGAAGAAUACGAGACGACAGAAGGUUACGUUUACGCGAGAGAGAGAGAGAGAGAGAAACUUUGCGCGUGUGUGAAGCCUAAAAUUGUCAGAGCUCGAACAAUGCGUGUUUACUCUGUGUCGCGCGUCAUUCUCCACGUAUACAGUGUUUGCGCUUGGGUUUUCCGCGUAAAUAUCCGCGAAGAUUAAAUAAGACACUUAGAACAGAUUGAGCGUAAUUAGAAUCUUCGCGCCACGACGGCGGUGCACAAGCAAUAUCUCAAACUAACGCUUACGUUUCGUGCGAUAUUCUAAGCGCACUUUGUUAUGCAAUUGACUCUCUCUCUCUCUCUCUCUCUCUCGCAAUGACUUAACUAACCGUCCGAGUUCAGAGAUGCAUCGUACACAGAGAGAUUCAUCCAAUUUCAACGCUCGAAAUGACAAUGCACAUUUUCCCCAGCGGCGCAGAUCGCCGCUUUCGUGAUAUUUACGACGAUUCGGUGAAGAGAGAGAGAGAGAAAAAGAGAGAGGUGCGCCACACAUAUACACGUCAGAGAAUGAUAAGAUAAAUUGUACGUCGAUGGGACGAUAAGAACGCCAUGAGGCGGAAUAGAAAAUUAAAUCUCGCUGAAUGUGCGACGAUUUUUUUGCGACGAGCACGUGACGCGAAUCUUCCCAACAAAUUUAUGUAAAAAACGAGAUAAAAAACACACGGGAGGGAAAUGUGAAAUCGAAGCGGAAGAAAGAAACGACGUUUCGGAUUAUUUGCGUGGGAUAUAAUAUCACGAUAAUACCUCGGGAUUGUAAAGUCAGUCGCGAAAGGAUUUAACAGAUGGCUCUAUAAUCCUAAGAAUAUAACUUGCGACAGGUGGUCGAUUAACAGACGCGCGAAUUACACGCGACGCGAGAGAGUCGCGACUAUUUAUCAUUUGUGCAUGCGGCAUCACGACUCGCCGUGUGUUUCUCUCAAUCAUCGCCCGAUCAAUUGUCAUAUCUCUCAAAGUAGACGCCGCGAAUUGUCGAAUCACUUAUCGAUCACGAGAGUCAACAAUUUUGAGAAAUCAUAACGCAUAUUGACACCAAAACACGCCGAGGUUCCUCCAUUUCUCAUUGAAUCAAUGUAAAAACAUUGUUGUCGUGCAACAUUCAAUAUCUUAUCGCUGGAUUACAAAUAUAUAUAUAUCGUCUUGUUCUUCUCAAGCAUGAGAUCACAUUUUUUUAA